CAGUUGUACGGCAGCAUAUAUUUACUUAUUGUUUAUUUUUGAUGGCGAGUAGCGAACGGGUGAGUAAUAUCUGAGAAUCUGCCUUAAGAAGGGGGAUAACUAUUGGAAACGAUAGCUAAUACCGCAUAAUGUUAUAUAUUUUAAUAAUAUAUUAAAUUAUUAUUAUAAUAUUAUAAUUAAAGUAGGGGAUUUAAAUUUAUUUAAACCUUAUGUCUUAAGAUGAGCUCAGACAGGAUUAGUUAGUAGGUAAGGUAAAAGCUUACCUAGACUAUGAUCCUUAGCUGGUCUUAGAGGAUGGCCAGCCACACUGGAACUGAGAUACGGUCCAGACUCCUACGGGAGGCAGCAGUGGGGAAUAUUGCACAAUGGGGGAAACCCUGAUGCAGCUAUGCCGCGUGUAUGAAGAAGACCUUAGGGUUGUAAAAUACUUUCAGUAAGGAAGAAGAUAUAU
rnacentral:rRNA from 1 species